rnacentral:rRNA from 1 species
UACCGAGGUCCCGAGCGUUGUUCGGAUUCCUUGGGCGUAAAGGGUGCGUAGGCGGCGGGGCAAGUCUGAUGUGAAAUCCCGGGGCUCAACCCCGGAACUGCAUUGGAUACUGCCUUGCUCGAGUACUGGAGAGGGAACUGGAAUUUACGGUGUAGCAGUGAAAUGCGUAGAGAUCGUAAGGAAGGCCAGUGGCGAAGGCGAGUUCCUGGACAGUUACUGACGCUGAGGCACGAAGGCCAGGGGAGCAAACGGG